rnacentral:tRNA from 1 species
UGCCCCUGUCGUCUAGAGGCCUAGGACAUUUCCCUUUCACGGAGGAAACGGGGAUUCGAAUUCCCCCAGGGGUAA